GACUUGUAGGAGUUCUUUAUACAUUUUGGAUGUUAAUUCUUUAUCAGAUAUGUGAUUUACAAAUACAUUCUCCCAUUCUCUGUGUUGUCUUUUUACUCUAUUGAAAGUGUCCUUUGAUGCUACAAUUAUUGUUAUAUAUGUCUCCAGAGUCCUUAUGUAAUAGCUUAUCUAGAAAAUAUACUAGGAGUGACAUUUCUGGUCACUGUAUAUUCAGCAUUUCUAGAUAGUUCCAAAUUGUUUUCUGAAAUAGAGGUACUAAGUUACAUUCUCACCAGCAGUUCCGUUUGACACAUAUUCUUACUCAUACUUUAUUAUCAGAAUUUUAAAGUUUUUCCAGUCUCAUGGGUAUGAAAUGGUAUCUCAUUGUGGUUUAAUUUAAUUGUAGGUGUGAAUAUAAAAUGAUAUAGACAUUUUGGAAAACAGUAUCUUUUAAAAUCAAACCUAUACUUUCCGUAAGACAGUGUUCCCACUCCUAGGAUUUCUAUGGUGGCUCAGUAGGUUAAGGAUCCAGCAUUGUCACUGCUGUGGCAAGGGUCAAUGCUGUGGCUUGGGUUCAAUCCUUAGCAUAGAAAUUUCUGCAUGCCACGGGCAUAGCCAAUAAAUAAAUAAAUAAAAGAAGCAUUAUUUGAAAUAGACAAAAAGUAGAAAUAACCCAAAUCUCCAUUAAAUGAUGAACGGAAACAUGUCAUAUUCAUACAAAGGAACAUUAUUCAGUAAUAAAAAUAAACCAUUGAUAUAUGCCAUAAUGUAUAUGCUAAGUGAAAGCCAUACUAAAUACAAAGUAACACAAAACACUACAUUACUUGAUGAUUCCAUUCAUACAAAAUGGUAAAAUUAUAUUGACAGAAAGCAAACAAGCAGUUGUCUGGAGCUAGGAGUGGGGACUGACUGCAAAAGGCCACUCUAGAUUUCAAUGAAGGUUACACAACUGUACACAAAUAACAAAAUUUAUCAGACUGCAUAUUUAAAGUUAAUAUGACAGUAUGCCAAUUAUACUUCAGUAAAGAUACUAUUAAAAAUUACAGGUUAAGUUCAAAUUGCUCUUGAAAGUGUCCUUUGAUGCUGAACAUGUUUUGCUUCUGAAUUAAUACAACAAACAAACAAAAGUCCUAAGAAGAUACUUUCAGAAAUUGAUGGGUACCCUGGGGCCUUUCUCCUAUAUUUCUUGAAAGCUGAAACUUGUAAACAUAAAGGGAUCCUAAUGACCCAGGUCAUGAUUGAUAAAAAUAUCCUUGGAAUCGUAUACCUGCAUCUCUCUCCAAAUCUUUGAAUAGCUUAUGAUGCUUUUCAGCUUUCUUUAACACGUUUCCAAGGAAAAUAUUGUUUUAAUAUAAGUAUCCAUUUAUCUGCUUGAAUUUUAAUUUUGAGCUCCUUUAUCUAAAUAGUAAGCCUCUGAAUAGCUUAAAUCUCCUCAAAGUUUCCUGGACCCUAGAGUGGGUCCUCACAUAGAACAUUAAACAGUGACAUUCUUCAUUCCCAUUUAACCUGAAAAAAAAUCUCACGACAUUCUCUUGUUAAAAGAAAUAUUAUUUUUCGUUUUGUUUUGUUUUGUCCAAUUAGUGAAUAAUGAAGGGUAUGGGCAUCUAACAGCCAUACAGUAGUACGACUAUAUUACUGGUUUUGAACAGGUAUUGAUUCACUUUGUCCAAAAUUUCAAAAAUACUAACAUUUAAUCAUAGAAAGCAGGUAAAAACUUAAGAGAAGCAGUUUUUUGUUUUUUGGAAAAAAAGUAUUCCGAGAAUACAGAUUAAAAAAUAAAGGAAAUGGGAGUUCCCGUCGUGGCGCAGUGGUUAACAAAUCCAAAUAGGAACCAUGAGGUUGUGGGUUUGAUCCCUGGCCUUGCUCAGUGGGUUAAGGAUCCAGCGUUGCCGUGAGCUAUGGUGUAGGUCACAGACACGGCUCGGAUCCCGCGUUGCUGUGGUUCUGACGUAGGCCAGUGGCUACAGCUCUGAUUAGACCCCUAGACUGGGAACCUCCAUAAGCCAUGGGUUCGGCCCUAGAAAAGGCAAAAAGACCAAAAAAUAAAAUACUAAAAAAAAAUAAAGAUAAUGAAAGAAAAUAAAAAGUGAAUGGCAAGUUUUUGUGCUUGUCCCAAUGACAGAGGUCAGGAAAAGCAAAAUCUAAAGUUUGGUGUGGGGAAGAGAAGUAAUGCGCAUGUAAAUAAGUCUGGUAUUGUGCUUUUCCUUUCUAAAGAAGAGGGGCAGCUUUAUAGAAUGGGCUACCUUGUAACAGAGGUAUUUUGCUAUCUUGUAGUUAGUUAACCAGUAUUUAUAGCAACAUAGAUUACUUUUCAUGCUGUGCUAUUAUAUAACAGCCUUCUCCCUUUGCUACUCACCCUGUCUCUUAUUUUAGUCUUAAAACUAGCUGCAUUACAAUGGCAUUGGCAACUAGUUCAUCAAGCUCUCAAAGACUAGAGAUGUAUGCUUUAUUUCUCUUUAUCCUACAAUGCAUCCAGUACUGUUCCAUAGAAAAUAAUAAAUGGGGCCAUCUUACUGACCAAAUACUACCUGAAAAGUAUUUAUGAAUAAAGGUAAUUCUUAGGUUCCCUAAAAUUGUCACAGGGAUGAUUGGAUGUUUAGAAUUUUGUUUGAAUAUUAACUACUCAUAAACCCCUUCCAUGGGCAUCAGCCCUCCUUCUUAAAAUUAUGCCAUGCCCUCAUUAAUAUGGUUUCAUUGGGCAGGAAAAUCAGUUUCUAAGAUGAUCAGUCACAUGCAGUCACCAGAGCCACAUUUUUGGAACAACAGUUUUAUACAGGGUUGAAAU
rnacentral:lncRNA from 1 species